ensembl:lncRNA
UGCCUCACUACUUUUGUUGUAUAGCAUAUGUGAAGAAUGUGCAUGUCCUACAAUCAGUAAGAAGGACAUAAAAUGUGUGAAGAAUGCAUCUGUCCACAGUGGUGCCUCAUAAUCGACUUCUUGGUAUCUUCUUUGAAUGUUAACACAGAAGACAAUGUCCAGUCUCACAAUCUUUCCUCACGAAAUCCUCUCAGGCUUCAAUGACAUCUGUGUAUGUACAAGAAAUCCCAUAUUAGACUCUACGGCGUUAAUUUAUUCAUGUCUCAGUAUUCAAGACUAUAUUUCUCCAUUUUCUUUUGUAGUACAAAGCCAUCUUACAGUAUAAGAGGAGAAAUGUGAUGGCAAGAUAAUGGUGUUAGUCAAAUCAUAUUUGAAUGAUUCUUCAUAGAAGUGCAAGUAUUUUCAG